GACGAACGCUGGCGGCGUGCUUAACACAUGCAAGUCGAACGGAAAGGCCCUGCUUUUGUGGGGUGCUCGAGUGGCGAACGGGUGAGUAACACGUGAGUAACCUGCCCUUGACUUUGGGAUAACUUCAGGAAACUGGGGCUAAUACCGGAUAGGAGCUCCUGCUGCAUGGUGGGGGUUGGAAAGUUUCGGCGGUUGGGGAUGGACUCGCGGCUUAUCAGCUUAUUGGUGGGGUAGUGGCUUACCAAGGCUUUGACGGGUAGCCGGCCUGAGAGGGUGACCGGCCACAUUGGGACUGAGAUACGGCCCAGACUCCUACGGGAGGCAGCAGUGGGGAAUAUUGCACAAUGGGCGGAAGCCUGAUGCAGCAACGCCGCGUGCGGGAUGACGGCCUUCGGGUUGUAAACCGCUUUCGCAUGUGACGAAGCGUGAGGGACGGUAAUGGGUAAAGAAGCACCGGCUAACUACGU
rnacentral:rRNA from 1 species